rnacentral:lncRNA from 1 species
UAUUUGGUUAAUCAAACAUUAUACUACCGUUUGGCUUAAUUGCGACCACGCUGGGAAGUUAAAGUUCUCCCUACCUAGCCAUUGAUACAAGGUGAAUUGGGCGUAUUUUUAUUGGCCAAGGUAGCUAAUCAAUUAGGGAUCAAUUUGUGACGAUGGCAACUUCAUUGACAGGUUUGCACCCGCAACUGCGUGAUUGGACUGGAGGGUGAGGCUCAGUUAUGGAAUUAUGGACGUUGCUUUGGCCACACCACCAGUCCAGCUCGCUACCUCCUCCCCCAGUGGGAUGGUGCUGCAUGACAGGGAGGCCUUGGCGCCGUAGCCCCCUCUCCUGGAUCCUGCCCGCCCCACCACCACCCCCCUCAGAGCGGAUGACCACCACCACAGCAGCCCCCCCCAUGAGUCACCCUCUGGAGCCCUAGAUCAAGUAACUGUGACCCCCUUCUUCCCCUUAUAUAUACUGUACCUCAAUUGCAUCCCCUGGUUCCGGUCUAUGUUUUUGCUACAUAGGCGAGGUUCCUUGCCUGUCCCCUUAACUAGCUUUCUCUGGAUAAAGGCCCGGUUUAUCAUGAAUUCAUAGACAUAUUGGAUUGAUUUAUCAAUUAGCUUAUUCAUCUAACCCUCUUCAACUCUUCCCCCCCUACAGUGUGUUGAAAGAGUGAAUAUUAAUACUUCAAAAUGUCCUCAGUAUGAUCUUUUUUUUCUAGCAGUGAUCAUUAGGAAGUUGAUAGAACAAUAUUGCAGAAACCUGACUAUAGACUGACUUAGUCACUGUUAUAUUGUUUACACCCUAGUAGCCAGUCCUUACAGAUGAGUAAGGGGGACAAAGAGAGACAGGUCAGGUCAUUGUGCUGCUAAACCCCUUGUCCAUACAGGGAGUGUUCAGUGCAGGAACAACACAACACAGAUGAGGCUUGUAUCUAUCUAUAUAUGCUGCUGCCUGUCACAUGUAAUCACAUUACUGUAGCACAGAAUCAACCAAACUAGGAUAUGCUGAUAGGAGUCAUGCUCCAUACAGGAUAGGAAAUAAACCUUUUUGCAAUGGCAUUUUUUUGGACUUCGUGAACUCAUUUUUGGAGGCAUUUCCAGG